rnacentral:rRNA from 1 species
GACGUAGGGCGCGAGCGUUGUCCGGAUUUAUUGGGCGUAAAGAGUUCGUAGGCGGUGUGUCGCGUCGGCCGUGAAAACUUGGGGCUUAACUCUGAGCGUGCGGUCGAUACGGGCAUCACUUGAGUUCGGCAGGGGAGACUGGAAUUCCUGGUGUAGCGGUGAAAUGCGCAGAUAUCAGGAGGAACACCGGUGGCGAAGGCGGGUCUCUGGGCCGAUACUGACGCUGAGGAGCGAAAGCAUGGGGAGCGAACAGG